rfam:Morus notabilis contig5653, whole genome shotgun sequence.
GGUGUUGUGGUGUAGUUGGUUAUCACGUCAAUCUAACACAUUGAAGGUCUCUAGUUCGAAUCAUGGCGACGCCA